GUGUUUGCUUUGGCAGCACACACGCUAACGCUGAAGCAAUGCAGAGAAGAUUAGCAUGGGCCCUGUGCAAGGAUGACAUGCAAAUUUGUGAAACAUUCCAUAUAGUU
ensembl:snRNA U6 U6 spliceosomal RNA